ACCUAGCUAGCUCAGUCAGUAGAUCAUGUGACUCUUGAUCUUGGGGUCAUGAGUUCAAGCCCCAUGUUGGGUG
rnacentral:tRNA from 1 species